CAGUCUGUGUCGUGUUCAUCCAUGUUUCUCCCAUGAUGCCGCCCUGUGUUUCCCACCCGCGUCUUCUCCAGUGUCUCCUAGUUUGUCCCUGUGUGGCUGCUAAGAACAUGGCAGAGUCUGCUGAAGAGGACUGCUUCCCUCUGUAGAUGUAAAGACUCAUUCUAAGAUUGCACAGCCACUUCUAACACUCAAAGUAUCUGGAAGACUCCAUUUAUGAAAUCAUUUUUACGCAUCCUCAGAAAUGAUGUCACUAUCAGGCCAAUCAGUGACAGCUUCCCGAGACUUUAUGAUUGCUGGACAGAUUAGAGAGCUGUAGUAUGCACCAGAGCCUCUUCAAGGAAAUAACAAGUGCCUCAGCAAUCAGAAACACGUCCCCCAGGAAAAGGGAAAGGAAAGAAAGAAAAAAAAAAGCUCCUGUGAUUGCAGCGUUUUGAGAUUAAGAGACAUCACACUGAGGAUGACGGUGAAUUCCCAGCCGGGACAAAAGCACCCACAAAGUGUGACAGAAAGAAAUCUCAUUGUGUGACGUCAUUGCUCAGGAUCUUGUACUGACACGCACACACACAAAAAACGAGAACACAGCAGCUUGACAUCAUUUCACUCAACACAGCGGGUUCCUCCUCUAAAAUGAAUCUGAACUGCUGCUCAUCUUGCACAAAGUGACGUAGUCCCUCAGUGAGAUUCAGAAUUCUCCCUCACCGGGGUUUGUAGUGGAAUCUUUGAUGCAUUUUUCAUAAAUCUGUUCUGCUGUAACACUAUUUUUAACACUCUAGUUUUGUGUCAAGCUCGAUGAAAAUGGCUUUAUAUCACUGGCAGCUUUGUCAGAAGAUGGGACUUCAA